AUUCUUCCCAACGCCAUGUCGAUCUUCUUGGACAACUAUAGUGUUGCUACUCUCUUUGGGAAUCUCUUUGUACCAGUUCCAUGACUUAUUGUUUGAUUUGGUCUACAAGAGCUCAUAUGCCAUAUGGAGUUUAGCUUUAAACCUUUGCAAAGGAUACUCAUAUAUGUACGCAUUAGAUGAAACAUAGCUAAGAUACAAGUUAUUUUAACAUAGAUAGCAAAACUCUGACUCCCAGUUUAGCUUGGGAGCUGCAUACAAAUUUGUAAUAUCAUGUAAUAAUUUGGAUCAAACAUUUACCAAUCGCAGUGUCAGUUUUAAUAUAUUGUUGUGGGACGAAGGGGCGACAACUGAGUUGCCUAAUUGGAUAGGUUUUUUUUUACCUCAAAAUCCCUAAUUGUUGCCUGGGCUCGUUUUUGUCUUACACAGUGCCCCCUCGUUGCGUCCUUCGGAUCAAUAUCACGCGGUGUAAAGACUUUUCAGCGAGGGCCACGUGCAUAUGCUGAUCUAGACACCACUCUCCUCUCGUCCAAACAAGUCUCCAUCCCCACCCCCACAGGAAAAAUUCCCCACCAACUCGAACCAGAGUGGCGGAAUAGGCGAUGGAUCCGGCGCCCGAGGGAGGGGCGGCGGCCAUGGCGUUGGCGCUGCUGUGGCCUGCGGGGGAGGGCUGAACGAGCAGCACCGGUUCUCCAGAUGGCCUGGAUCUCGAAGAACUUGACGUUGGCGACUGCGAGAUCCAGCUCCCGUCCAGGCUACGCGACGAUCUCGGGAUCGUCGGCUGCUCGCGUCCCAGCCGCGCGACGACCUCGGCGCCGGUCGCUGCUCGCGUCUUGGCCGCGCGACGCCCUCGGUGCUGGCGGCUGCGAGAUGCAGCUCGCGUCCCGGCCGCGCGACAACCUGGGCGCCGGCCGCUCCUCGCUUCCUGGCCGUGCGGGAACCUCGACGCUAGCCGCUGCGAGAUGCAGCUCGUGUCCCGGACACGCGUUCUCCGUAUUGCCUGGACCACGACGACCUCGACGCGGGUGGCCGAGCUGCUACUCGCCUCCAACGUCGAAGACCAUGACCAGCCGCGCCAGUGCAUAGGACGGUGGGAACGAUGGCGCGUUCGUACCAGACCACCCUGCACGACCUGUCGGCUGCCUCAAUCCACUGCCGCCCUGGUUUGAUCGAUCCAGGCAUCCAUGAGGCAACUUUGCAGUGACGGCAAAGAUCAGCUGGAGAAGGAGAGCGUCCUCCACGGCAAGGAUCAGCAUCCAUGGGCAUGCGUGAGUCACAUUUAGUACUAGUCCACGCACAGCCUUUUUUCAGAACUAUUCAACAUUGAUCUGUUCCGCAUUACUGCAAGUUGUAUCUUGGUCGAGCACAGAUUCAUCUCUUUUUUACAUCUAUGAACUGUUUUUUCAUAUACAUCUGCAUUUUUGUUACAUAUAAAUACUAUUUUAUUACAUGUAAGCACUAUUUUGUUACAUCUAACAAUUUUGCUAAGAGAUGGAAUUGAUAUGUAAUCUGCCAUUUCUACAUCCAAAAGUAUGGAAGGAAGUAACAAUAGUAAUGUUUUCUGCAAUUUUGGCUAUAAAUUUUGAAACUGAAUGAGAUCUUUUUACAUCCAAAAUGAUGAAAGGUGCAAGGUGUAUUUUUUCUCAAUUAUAGAUGAAACUUUAUGCAUUUCGUUGUAAUUUUAGUUAUUUUUUACAUCCACAAAGUUUGAUGGAUCAAGUUGUAAAAUACAUUAUGUUUGUGAUCACAGUUUUGGUGCAUCUACAUGUAACUUUUACAUUUUUUUACAUCCAUCCAUGCAAUUUUUACAUCCCAGUUUUCGUGCACAAACUGCUGAUAUCUAUUGUUUCUGCAAGGGAUGUAUUUUUGGCAAAAUUGGUUGUAGUUUUCCUUUUGACUGGUUGUAUUUUAUUUACGUCUGGCAAAGCGGCAAAGGAGGUGCUCUUGUGAGAACGAAUACAGGUCACGACUGUUUCUGAAACAGAGAGGGAAAAAAAAGACAUGGAGAGGAAGAAAAUAAUAGAUGUGGAGAGGAAUAAAAUAAUACAGGGUGUAUGGCAGAGCGGGAUCCUUGCACAUGGGGACCACGUUGUUAAUGUAGUGCGCUUGUUUCCUAAUAUGGCAUGUCAAAGAUGGUCCAAAGUUUUUGUUUCCUAAUCAGGGUGGGCCACCGUGUAAAGCAAACCAGUAACCGUGCACCCUGUAGAAACGUCCUUUUUUUACGGUACCUUUUACCACUGCUAGAGAGUAGAGAGGUAUGAUUUGAGGAAGGGUUAGGAUUAACUGAUUUAAAUUAGACCCAGCAGUUAGUAAAGCGUUGAUAAUAAAAAGGUUAGAAGUAUUUGGCCCGGCCCAACAAUUGGAUAAUAGAGUUUGCCAGAGCUAAGCAACCCCGUCUCUGGGUCGAGGGCGGCCGCCGCCGGAACUAACGCGCCGUGUGCGUCGAAGGCGACCGCCGUCGCCACCACCGGAUCACCCCGAUCCUACAUCGCCGGCGAGCGACGCCGCCACCAGGUCAGCCCUGUCCUCUAUUGCGGGCGACCGCACCCGCCAGCAGAUCGGGCUAGUCCUGCAUCGCCGGCGAGCUACGCCGCCACCAUGUCGGCAACGCCACUACAUUGAGGCCACCACCAGUUCUACGCCGCCGCAACAUCCAGAGACGCCGCCAGACAUGGAUGGUCAAGGCGCUAGCGAGGAGUGUGAAGAGUAUCGCCUCAUGUUUAGUAAGACCUUCAGAAGUGAGGAUGAAGGAUAUGAGUUCUAUAACGAUUAUGCAAAGGUCAAAGGGUUCAGUAUUAGGAAGGAGGAGGUGAAAUAUUUACCAGGCACACACCUGGUUCAGAUGGACGAUGCAAGCUAAAGAUGGUUUCGAACCUGAGGGAAAUAACAGUAGACACGUUUGGUCUGAACAGGUAUGGAUAAUGUUGAGUCGCUGCUUAACCCUGACAAAGCCUAUGCGAGCCCACAAGUUCUUACUAAUAGAAAUCAUCAUCUUUCCGCUCAAGUUGGUGGGACUAGAAGGAAUAGUACUCAGCUUGGUACCAUCUCUACUCAGAGGGUUUUGCUGACUCGUGUAAGGACCCGAAGGAACCGGUAACUAGCUGAAAAAAAAACUGAAUAACAAGUUGUAUAUUCUUCUGGUGUAUAAGGGAGACAGAUAUCUGACCUAUUUGUAACCGAUGGUCUAGUGUCCGUCGGUUGAGUUCUUGUAUCUGAGUAUGACUAGUUUUUUCCUAGUACCUUUGCGGUGAUGUCUAUGGUU